GGGGAAUUAGCUCAAACUGGUAGAGCGUACGCUUCGCAUGUGUAAGGCACCGGGAUCGAUGCCCGGAUUCUCCA
rnacentral:tRNA from 7 species